UGACAGAUGCAAUUGUGACAUACGUGG
rnacentral:piRNA from 1 species